GUUUUAGGUUUCCUUGUCCUAUCGAAUUCGACUCUGUCACUGUCUAAUCUCUCACUCGAGUCUCAGUCUCUCUCGCCGUCUGUGAAUCGUUCCUUCCCCUCCACCACCCCGACAUCACGACGGUCCUGGCGACCACCACGACAGCCUAACAACUUCGACGGCAUCCCAAACUUACAGAACCCAGUCACCCCACCACCCAUCUUCUCGAUUUGUCACUUAUCUCUCAGUCUCACAGGUCAAUUUUAUGUGAUUAGUGCCAGCAUUUUUUAAGGAUCUGAAUCUGGUACUCAGUCUCUGUCUCACAGGAUUGUAAAAAGAAUGCAUAUAUGGAGGCAGAGUUGCACUGUUCAAAUGCCAUACAAAUCAUGGAAAGGAAGCUGAGAACAGCAUGCCAUGCUAGUGAUGCUAAUAUUGAUAAUGUUGGGAAGGUUCUUGAUGGUCUUCUAUCUGACUAUGAAGCAGCAAGUCAUGGUCCAGCAAAAUGGCAGAAACUGACCAUGUUCUUACAGAAAAGUUUUGAAGGGCCAAGACUGAGCUAACUAUUCUGGGAUUAGUUGGUUGAUUUCUCAAUUCCUUAAACGAGAAGAUUCAAUGAGGAAUUGAGGAUUGUUGUUGGAAUUUGGGCGUUGGAUGAUGUGGUUUUAAUUUGAAAUUUAUUGCGGAUGUCAUGUUUAUGUUGUUUUGGAUUAUUUGAUUUUUGGAAUUUGGAUGUCUUGGACUUUCGGAUAUUGUGUAUGUGGAUUUCAUUUUUAGAUGUUGGAGGACGAUGUAAUAUUGUUAUUUUGGAUGUAUUGUUAAAAUUUAAUUUAUGAACUUGGAUAUUAGAC